UAGAUACCCUGGUAGUCCACACCGUAAACGAUGAUUACUAGGUGUUGGAGGAUUGACCCCUUCAGUGCCGCAGUUAACACAAUAAGUAAUCCACCUGGGGAGUACGACCGCAAGGUUGAAACUCAAAGGAAUUGACGGGGGCCCGCACAAGCAGUGGAGUAUGUGGUUUAAUUCGACGCAACGCGAAGAACCUUACCAAGUCUUGACAUCCCUUGACGAUGCUGGAAACAGUAUUUCUCUUCGGAGCAAG
rnacentral:rRNA from 1 species